rnacentral:tRNA from 1 species
GCCUCGGUAGCGCAGUAGGCAGCGCGUCAGUCUCAUAAUCUGAAGGCCGUGAGUUCGAGCCUCCCCGGGGCA